AGUUGCUUCUCCUGCGCUCCAAGUCGCCCGGACCAGCGCCAUUUUGAGCAUCGUCCUUAUUUCCCGCUCUCCCUGCAGCUCGCCACUCCUACUUCUGUGAGCCCGGGCCUCCCUUCUUCCCUACAAAAUUCCUGAGCUCCAUUCUAGUCCUCAAGGACCUGGAGCCCCCAGCAGCAUCGGGCCUCGGCCCAAGCUUGCAGAAUCAAAGCCAGCAGGCUAGCAAACCCGAGGAUUCCUCCUUCAAUUCCUUUAACCCUCUGCGCAGCUUCCAGGGCUCAAAGCUGGCCUCUGAGACGUUUUCUUAUACCCAUUUGCUUCUAUCCCCCCCCCCGUACGCUGUUUUUCCACCCACCCCACAUUUAUUUCCGUGCAGGGACCCAAGGAACAUCUUAGCAGGACUGGAAACGGUCCGUUGGCAGAUGAGUGGGUGACCAAGCUUCCAUAAACUUGAAACUCUUCCUGGUGUCUUGGACAGAGAAAUAGUCACCAAGCAGGACCCCUUUUGUAUCACCCGGACUUUGACAGCCUGGGAGAUGGGACCGUGCCUUCUCUUGGGUCGCCUGAGCCAGAGCUAAACCAACCUCAAGCGGGGCCUGAGAAAGCAAAGAUUGGCCGUAGGGACUUGGUAAAAGAGCUGGAUCCCAACACAAACACUCGUUUUCAUAUUAUAAAGACAUUUAUUUACGCUAUGAAAAUAAUGUACAAUAAAUACUUUUCCCCUUUCCUAUUAUUAAACAAUUUUAAUAAAUAAUCUACAAUCUAAAACUUAAAAAAAAAAAAAGAGGAAAAUAGGUCCCUCUAGUUCUUUGUAAGAAAACCCUCUCCCAGUAGAGUUUAAUUAUUCCUGAGAUUUCGUUGGAAGGAGUUUUACCAAGUGGAAUUUGUGUGUGUGUGUGUGGUUUUAAAAAAGCGAAAAGGAGUGAAUGAAACACUAAUUCGUUAAUAUCAGGAUUUUAACAAAACGCAUAAAUGUAAUCAGGAGUGGAGAAGGCCCGAUUGCCCCCCCCCCCGCCCCAAACAGCCAAGGAGGACCAGACGGAAAGGACCAAAGAUGGAAAACAGUUAGGGAAACUGCAAGUCGAUGGCACAGAGCGUGCUGGUGAAGAAGUCCAGCUCUUCCUCGGAAAAGGGCACGGGGCUGUCAAGAGAACCCUGCAGGCUGGGCGAAAGGCCUCCGGACAUCUGGAGACAGGAGUCUGUAGCGAAGAAGUUGAGGUCCGGUAGAAAAGGCGAAUCCUGCCGCUCAGGGCAGGCGUCUUCGUGUAGGGGCUCGCUCUGCAGGCCUCCGGCUCUGAGCAUUGUGCAGCCGGGGCUCGAUGCGCCCACACUCUCCAGGGUGGUGGCAGGCGGCGCCGGCGCCGGCGGCGGCGGCGGUGCGCCCCGGGGUCCCUGCGCGACCUCGGCGGGGUGGAAGCAGGCUUCCCGCAGCCGGUGAGACGCGAAAUCGCCCGGGCUGGCCGUGGGUUCCUCGGCUGGCUCUCCAGCGUCGUCCUGGGCGCUCGGCCCGCCUGGUUCUCCCUCGGGCGGCUCUCGAUGCUGCGUCUGCCGCUUGUGUUUCAUGCGUCGGUUCUGAAACCAGACUUUCACCUGCCUUUCGGUGAGGUCCAGCAAGGCAGCGAUCUCGACGCGCCGCGGCCGGCACAGACCCAAUGAUGGUUGGGCUUCGGGUCACGUGACAGCCUCAUUGUAGCUCCGGAAGAGAACAUGAAGUUUAGGUUGCCUGGAAGAAGCAGUAAUAAGCUAGACUGAAAGGGAGAACAAAAAAAAAAUCAAAAUUUGGGGGAAAUUACCCACAGAGAUGCAAGGGAAAAGGAAAAAGGAAAAGAAAAAGGGAAAACUGUGCAGUUGCUGGAAUCUCUUUUCUACUGAGUUGGGGGAAAUUAUUCAGGAUGAUAAAGAUUCACAAAACAAUUUGAACAGUAUUCUUCUCUGGAUUCAAGGGGGAGGCUGUUUACUGAGGUUUCC
rnacentral:lncRNA from 1 species